AGCCCGGUUAGUUUUAUGACCACGCCCUGGAGAAACAUGAGGUGAACGCUGAACAUGUUGACUGUGUGGAGUUUUUGGACAUCGCAGAUUAAGAUUGCUUGCAUGUAUCUCAUUGAAGAGACAUGACGGUGAUAAAUAACGUCAGAAGCAAAACCGGAUCGGCUCAUCGGCGUCUCCAGCGUCCACUCAGCCGCCACGUGGUGAAGCUCUUCCGGCGUCAUUAAGCUCGUUUCUUCGGAUCAAGGCCAGCUAGCAGUAAGUGAGAGAGAAAAGACACAAGGUGUUGGUGGAGGAGCAGCAGACUGGAUAGAGGCAACGUCAUCAAGGCUGGUGAAAACGCCACAGCACAUCACCAGGAUGGAGGUGCCAUCCAUGGAGGACCUCUACACCCAGCAGUGUAAGAAUAACGCUUCUAGGAUCAUCAGAGACCCCCAAUCACCCCAGUCACAAACUGUUCCGCACCACCAUGCUCAGGGACAGCUUCAUCCCAUAAGACUUCAGAACUCUUGAGCUCAUCACUUGACACUUUACAUUGUAUCGUCACUUAAAUCAUUUAUGUACUUUAACUUACUGUUUUACACAAUGUUUACCUCGCUCUCGCUCUCUCUGCAUAUACAUGAACUAUAUUCCCGUCUUUAUUCUUUUGAAAUACUGUAGACCAUAAAUUUAUAUUAUUUUUAUUUAAUAAUGCAUGCGUUAUAUUUUAACUUGUAAUAUUUUUUAUCUUAGAUCUUAUUUUGUUUUUUACUUGUGUUACAUAGCAAUGCUGCUGAGAUCUAAGAUUUUCAUUGCCAAUCACUGCUUCUCUGUAAUUGUUGUUUGUAUGAUAAAUAACUUAAAUCUUGA